GACGUAGGGCGCAAGCGUUGUCCGGAUUUAUUGGGCGUAAAGAGCUCGUAGGCGGUUCUGUAAGUCGGAUGUGAAAACUCGGGGCUCAACCCCGAGACGCCAUCCGAUACUGCGGUGACUUGAGUCUGGUAGGGGAACACGGAAUUCCUGGUGUAGCGGUGAAAUGCGCAGAUAUCAGGAGGAACACCAACGGCGAAGGCAGCUCGCUGGGACGGUACUGACACUGAGGCGCGAAAGCGUGGGGAGCGAACAGG
rnacentral:rRNA from 1 species